rnacentral:lncRNA from 1 species
GGAAUGCAGCCUCUGGUGCUGUUUGAGUGAUCCCUCUGCCCCAGGCCUGGCUGCGCACUGCUGUGUUCUGGAAAGGCGCAUUGUGCCCUCGCUGUGGCAGUUAAAAGAAUGUUGGCAGAAAAACAGCCCUAGAGUUCCAGCAGGAGCGAACAGGAACAGGAAAACAAAUGGCAGUAUCCCUGAGACAGCCACUUCUGGUGGUUGCCAGCCACCUGGGGAUUCAGCAACAGGUUUCCACAGGGAAGGCCCUACAUCAUCUGCUACCCUGAAAGAUCUGGAGAGCCCGUGCCAAGAACGAGCAGUAGUCCUGGAUUCAACGUCCGUAAAAAUCAGUCGACUGAAGAACACCAUCAAAUCUUUGAAACAACAGAAGAAACAAGUGGAACAUCAGCUGGAAGAAGUAACGUGAUUUCGUUUCCUCGCGACAUGACUGCUGGGUUUGGGGGGCACUCAGACAUAGAGGCCCCAGUCUCGUCUCACCCACUCCCAGCCUGGGGAAGAAGGCUCACCCCUCAGAUUCCACCCCAUCCCCACAGGGCCCCUGAUAACCUGGUCCCAUGGGUGGGCCUGUCCUGGGGCAUUGGUGGCAUUCUGGGGGCAUGUCUCUUGCUGUGCCAUCUCUGCCUCCCCCUGGUAAGAGCUCUGUCUUCCUCUUCCUACAGGAAAAGAAAGCAAACAACGAGAGACAGAAAGCCGAAAGGGAGCUAGAGGUUCAAAUCCAGACAUUGAUCAUACAGAAAGAGGAACUAAAUACGGACCUGUGCCACAUGGAACGUUCUCUCAGAUACUUUGAAGGUGGGAAUCUGGGCACCCUGUCAUCCUUCAACCUGGCACUUUGACAGGUCUUCAGGGGGAGUCCCUUGGGCCCCAUCUCAACUCUCUCAUUACAGAAGAGUCCAAGGACCUGGCUGUCCACCUGCAAUAUUCAUUGCAGUGUAAAGGAGAGUUAGAGAGGGCUCUCUCUGCUGUCAUCGCCACAGAGAAGAAGAAGGCAAACCAGGUGAGUCCAGCCACCUGCCUCAUCCCCUGGGAGCCUGGUUUUGCAGAUGGAGGAGUGAGCCUAAAGGUCCCUUCUGCAGGAUGGCGUGUCCUGCCCAGAAGGCAGCAUGGCCAUUUCUUGCUACUUUUUUGUAUGGUUUUUAGUGGCAGCCUGGGGCCGAGUCAGCUGCUGUGGGUGAGUUGGGGGGCACUGUGCGGAGUGAGCACUGGACGCAGAGCUUGGAGGCCAAGUGCUUGCCCCGCCCUUACCUGGCUGUGGUCUUGGGCAAGUCCUAGGUGGGGUAUUGGGUACUUGUACUGUGAAGGUACAGAAGAGUACCUUUAGUAUGUUACCAUUUCUGUAGAAAGAGGAAACGCGUGCAUGUGUGUGGGUGUGUGUGUGUGUACAUACUAUGAUAAUAUACAUAAAACAUGUCUGCAAGGGUUCAUAAAAAAUUCAGGAGAGAGCAACAAGAUGGCUGGGAGAUACUUCCCUUCUGUACCUUCUGAGUUUUGGACUAUGUGAAUGUAUCAUCCUUUCAAAAAGUGAACAAAAGAUUAGUUUUCCCCUUCCUAUCUGUGCCCCCAUCCCCAGCAAGAAAAACGGGCUUAGAGAAUUGGAUAGACCUGGGUGUUUAUAUCCCAGCUCUGCCUAAGUGAACUUAGGCAAGCACUUAACCUCAAAUACUCCAUGUUUUUUCAUCUCCACAAUAGAGGGAAUCAUAGUAACUGUCUCCUAUGGUGGUUGCAAGGAUUAAAUGGGAUUGUUAGCACGGUACCUGGUGAAGCAUUCCACAAAGGUUCAAACAGUGGUAAUAAUAACAAUAAUAACAAUAGCAAUAUU